GUCUACGGCCAUACCACCCUGAACGUGCCCAAUCUCAACUGAAACAUGAAGCUACCAGGGUCGGGCCUGGUUAGUACUUGGAUGGGAGACUGCCUGGGAAUAUCGGGUGUUGUGGGCU
rnacentral:rRNA from 1 species